GACGAACGCUGGCGGCGUGCUUAACACAUGCAAGUCGAGCGGUAAGGCCCUUUCGGGGGUACACGAGCGGCGAACGGGUGAGUAACACGUGGGUGACCUGCCCUUAGCUCUGGGAUAAGCCUGGGAAACUGGGUCUAAUACCGGAUAUGACUCCAUGACGCAUGUUGUGGGGUGGAAAGCCUUGUGCGGCUAGGGAUGGGCCCGCGGCCUAUCAGCUUGUUGGUGGGGUGAUGGCCUACCAAGGCGACGACGGGUAGCCGGCCUGAGAGGGCGACCGGCCACACUGGGACUGAGACACGGCCCAGACUCCUACGGGAGGGCAGCAGUGGGGAAUCUUGCGCAAUGGGCGAAAGCCUGACGCAGCGACGCCGCGUGAGGGAUGACGGCCUCGGUUGUAA
rnacentral:rRNA from 1 species